rnacentral:rRNA from 1 species
GACGAACGCUGGCGGCGUGCUUAACACAUGCAAGUCGAGCGGUAAGGCCCUUUCGGGGGUACACGAGCGGCGAACGGGUGAGUAACACGUGGGUGACCUGCCCUCAGCUCUGGGAUAAGCCUGGGAAACCGGGUCUAAUACUGGAUAUGACUCCAUGACGCAUGUUGUGGGGUGGAAAGCCUUGUGCGGCUGAGGAUGGGCCCGCGGCCUAUCAGCUUGUUGGGGGGUGGAUGGCCUACCAAGGCGACGACGGGUAGCCGGCCUGAGAGGGCGACCGGCCACACUGGGACUGAGACACGGCCCAGACUCCUACGGGAGGCAGCAGUGGGGAAUCUUGCGCAAUGGGCGAAAGCCUGACGCAGCGACGCCGCGUGAGGGAUGACGGCCUGGU